rnacentral:rRNA from 1 species
UUAAGGGCUAAUGGUGGAUGCCUUGACUGUAAGAGGCGAUGAAAGACGUAUUAGGCUGCGAUAAGCCUCGGGGAGCUGCCAAAGAGCUUUGAUCCGGGGAUUUCUGAAUGGGGCAACCCAAUAUAAUGAGAAUUAUAUUACCCUACGGGGAGCGAACCUGGUGAAGUGAAACAUCUCAGUAGCCAGAGGAAGAGAAAUCAAUUGAGAUUCCGUCAGUAGCGGCGAGCGAACGCGGAUUAGGACAAACCCAAUGCUUGCAUUGGGGGUUGUAGGACUAUAAUGUGUAGUUAAAGAGAAUAGAUGAAUUAGUUGGAAAGCUAGAGCAUAGAAGGUGAUACUCCUGUAAUUAAAAUUCUCAAUAACGCUAAUAGUAUCCUGAGUAGGUCGGAACACGUGAUAUUUUGACUGAAGCUGGGGGGACCACCCUCCAAUCCUAAAUACUACUUACAGAUCGAUAGUGAACAAGUACCGUGAGGGAAAGGUGAAAAGUACUGCAGCGAGCAGAGUGAAAUAGAACCUGAAACCAUUAGCUUACAAUCAUUCAGAGCCCUAUGAUUUAUCAGGGUGAUGGACUGCCUUUUGCAUAAUGAGCCUGCGAGUUGUGGUGUCUGGCAAGGUUAAGCCAAGUGCGAAGCCGUAGCGAAAGCGAGUCUUAAUAGGGCGACAUAGUCAGAUGCUGCAGACCCGAAACGAAGUGAUCUAUCCAUGAGCAGGUUGAAGCUGGUGUAAGAGCCAGUGGAGGACCGAACCCGCUGACGUUGAAAAGUCUUGGGAUGACUUGUGGAUAGGGGUGAAAGGCCAAUCAAACUUCGUGAUAGCUGGUUCUCUCCGAAAUAUAUUUAGGUAUAGCCUUGUGUUGUAGCAUAUAGGGGUAGAGCACUGAAUGGGCUAGGGCUGCUUACCGCGGUACCAAACCCUAUCAAACUAUGAAUACUAUAUGUGGAAUCACAGGAGUCAGGCGGUGGGUGAUAAAAUCCGUCGUCAAGAGGGGAACAACCCAGACUAACAGCUAAGGUCCCUAAGUUACAUCUAAGUGGAAAACGAUGUGGAGUUACUGUGACAACCAGGAGGUUGGCUUAGAAGCAGCCAUCCUUUAAAGAAAGCGUAACAGCUCACUGGUCUAGUGAUUCUGCGCGGAAAAUAUAACGGGGCUAAGAUGUACACCGAAGCUUUAGAUUCAAUUUUUAAUUGAGUGGUAGGAGAGCGUUCUAUUCAGCGUUGAAGGUAUACCGGUAAGGAGUGCUGGAGCGGAUAGAAGUGAGCAUGCAGGCAUGAGUAGCGUUAAAACAGGUGAGAAUCCUGUUCGCCGAAAACCCAAGGUUUCCUACGCGAUGCUCGUCAUCGUAGGGUUAGUCGGGUCCUAAGUCGAGUCCGAAAGGGGUAGACGAUGGCAAAUUGGUUAAUAUUCCAAUACCAACAUAUAAGCGCGAUGUGGGGACGCAUAGAGUUAAUCGAGGUCACGGAUGGAAGUGUGGCUCGAAGGAUGUAGGUUGUUAAGUAGGCAAAUCCGCUUAACGUUAGACCGAGAUCUUACAGGCUCUUGACACUCUUCGGAGGAGAUGGAGAAUCGAUGAUACUGUCGUGCCAAGAAAAGCCACUAAGUAUAUUAUAUGUUGCCCGUACCGUAAACCGACACAGGUGGGUGGGAUGAGUAUUCUAAGGCGCGUGGAAGAACCCUCUUUAAGGAACUCUGCAAACUAGCACCGUAUCUUCGGUAUAAGGUGUGCCUACUUUGGUAUAUGGACUUGCUCCAAAAAGCUAAAGAGGUUGCAACAAAGAGUCCCUCCCGACUGUUUACCAAAAACACAGCACUUUGCUAACACGUAAGUGGAUGUAUAAGGUGUGACGCCUGCCCGGUGCUCGAAGGUUAAUUGAUGAUGUCAGCGCAAGCGAAGCAUUUGAUCGAAGCCCGAGUAAACGGCGGCCGUAACUAUAACGGUCCUAAGGUAGCGAAAUUCCUUGUCAGUUAAAUACUGACCUGCAUGAAUGGCGUAACGAGAUGGGAGCUGUCUCAAAGAGGGAUCCAGUGAAAUUGUAGUGGAGGUGAAAAUUCCUCCUACCCGCGGAAAGACGGAAAGACCCCGUGCACCUUUACUACAGCUUGACACUGUAGCUUGGAUAUUCAUGUGCAGGAUAGGUGGGAGGCUAUGAUGACUAGACGCCAGUAGAGUCGGAGCCAUCCUUGAGAUACCACCCUUGAAUAUUUGAGUUACUAACUGCGAUGAGUUAACCUCAUUCAGGACAAUGUCUGGUGGGUAGUUUGACUGGGGCGGUCGCCUCCUAAAUAGUAACGGAGGCUUACAAAGGUUAGUUCAGAUGGGUUGGAAAUCCAUCGUUGAGUAUAAUGGCAUAAACUAGCUUGACUGUGAGACCAACAAGUCGAACAGAGACGAAAGUCGGUCAUAGUGAUCCGGUGGUUCUGCGUGGAAGGGCCAUCGCUCAAAGGAUAAAAGGUACGCCGGGGAUAACAGGCUGAUCUCCCCCAAGAGCUCACAUCGACGGGGAGGUUUGGCACCUCGAUGUCGGCUCAUCGCAUCCUGGGGCUGUAGUCGGUCCCAAGGGUAUGGCUGUUCGCCAUUUAAAGCGGUACGCGAGCUGGGUUCAGAACGUCGUGAGACAGUUCGGUCCCUAUCUUCCGUGGGCGUAGGAAAGUUGAAGAGAUUUGUCCCUAGUACGAGAGGACCGGGAUGAACCAACCACUGGUGUACCAAUUGUUCUGCCAAGAGCAUCGUUGGGUAGCCACGUUGGGAUGUGAUAAGAGCUGAAAGCAUCUAAGCUCGAAGCCAACUCUAAGAUGAACUUUCCCUGAAGUUCCCAGCAAGACUAGCUGGUUGAUAGGCUGGAUGUGUAAUGGGUGUAAGCCCUUUAGCUGACCAGUACUAAUAGAACGUUUGGCUUAUUU